CACCAUUGAGUGCUAACACCCAUGAGUGCUAACACCCAUGAGUGCUAACACCAUUGCUUCUGAUAUAUUCAGUGCCUCCAUCUGAAGCAGAUGGGAAUGCAGAAACCAAAUGCCUUCCCAGAGGUCACAGAGGACACAGAGAGGUGUACAGACCACUCCUGUAAAAAAGCCAUCACAGGUUCUGCAGAAGUCCAGAAGAACAAUGUGAGGCCAGAGACAGUGAGGCAAAGAGCACCCUGAUCUAGGGUCAUCAUGGAGCCUGCUGGUACCCAUACCCACCUAGACAGCCAUUGAAGAAAGAUACAGCAAGGAGUGCUUGCUGAGAUGUGUGACACACCCCAGCCUGCACCCCAGCCGUCACCUCAGCGAUCAACUUGUACUUCCAUGUCUGCGUUCUGCACGACUGCCAACCUCUGAAGAGCAGACACUGUCCCUUGUCCCUUGCCCUGGGCCCAUGCCUGGCUUGGCUAGCAGCUUUGUCAUGGUACCGAUCCUCUCCUUUGUCUCUUCCUGUUUCCCUCCUCAGCCUUCAGGAAGUGUAGUCCCGCAGUGACAUUCUCAGAUCAUACGGGAACUGGAACUUGCCACCCACAUCUGAGGCAGGUUUGGUCUAUGUUUUCCUUUCCACAUUCAUCAAAUGGGUAUGAUCGAGAGAUUCUUCAGCCUACAACUUGGCUGAAAGUGUUAAGGAAUACCCAAAAAGAUGUAUUAUCUGUAAAUACUGAUGAUAAUG
rnacentral:lncRNA from 1 species